AUUGAACGCUGGCGGCAUGCCUUACACAUGCAAGUCGAACGGCAGCACGGGGGUAACCCUGGUGGCGAGUGGCGAACGGGUGAGUAAUGCAUCGGAACGUACCCAGUUGUGGGGGAUAGCCCGGCGAAAGCCGGAUUAAUACCGCAUACGACCUGAGGGUGAAAGCGGGGGACCGAAAGGCCUCGCGCAGUUGGAGCGGCCGAUGUCGGAUUAGCUAGUUGGUGGGGUAAAGGCUUACCAAGGCGACGAUCCGUAGCUGGUCUGAGAGGACGACCAGCCACACUGGGACUGAGACACGGCCCAGACUCCUACGGGAGGCAGCAGUGGGGAAUUUUGGACAAUGGGGGCAACCCUGAUCCAGCCAUGCCGCGUGCGGGAAGAAGGCCUUCGGGUUGUAAACCGCUUUUGUCAGGGAAGAAAUCUUCUGGGUUAAUACCUCGGGGGGAUGACGGUACCUGAAGAAUAAGCACCGGCUAACUACGUGCCAGCAGCCGCCGUAAAAC
rnacentral:rRNA from 1 species